rnacentral:misc_RNA from 1 species
GAAAUGCGAUAAGUAGUGUGAAUUGCAGAAUUCAGUGAAUCAUCGAAUCUUUGAACGCACAUUGCGCCCUAUAGUAUUCUGUAGGGCAUGCAUGUUCGAGCGUCAUUUGUACCUUCAAGCUUUGCUUGGUGUUGGGUGUUUGUCCUCUCCCUGGUGUUUGGACUCGCCUUAAAACAAUUGGCAGCCAGUGUUUUGGUAUUGAAGCGCAGCACAAUUUGCGAUUCUGGCCUUAAAAUACUAGCGUCCAUAAGUACUUUCUCACUUUUGACCUCGGAUCAUGUAGGGAUACCCGCUGAACUUAA